rnacentral:rRNA from 1 species
UACGGGGGGGGCAAGCGUUGUCCGGAAUUAUUGGGCGUAAAGAGCUCGUAGGCGGUGUGUCGCGUCGGCCGUGAAAACCUGCAGCUUAGCUGUGGGCUUGCGGUCGAUACGGGCAUCACUGGAGUUCGGCAGGGGAGACUGGAAUUCCUGGUGUAGCGGUGAAAUGCGCAGAUAUCAGGAGGAACACCGGUGGCGAAGGCGGGUCUCUGGGCCGAUACUGACGCUGAGGAGCGAAAGCGUGGGGAGCGAACAGG